ACUCAAAUGAAUAGACGGGGGCCCGCACAAGCGGAGGAACAUGUGGUUUAAUUCGAUGAUACGCGAGGAACCUUACCUGGGCUUAAAUGUAGGAUGCAUGAGGCGGAAACGUUUCUUUCCUUCGGGACACCCUACAAGGUGCUGCAUGGUUGUCGUCAGCUCGUGCCGUGAGGUGUCGGGUUAAGUCCCAUAACGAGCGCAACCCUUACCGUUAGUUGCCAUCAGGUAAAGCUGGGGACUCUGGCGGGACUGCCACCGUAAGGUGAGAGGAAGGUGGGGAUGACGUCAAAUCAGCACGGCCCUUAUGUCCAGGGCUACACACGUGUUACAAUGGCCGGUACAGAGGGCAGCUACCCCGCGAGGGGAUGCGAAUCUUGAAAGCCGGUCUCAGUUCGGAUUGGAGUCUGCAAUUCGACUCCAUGAAGUUGGAUUCGCUAGUAAUCGCGCAUCAGCCAUGGCGCGGUGAAUACGUUCCCGGGCCUUGUACACACCGCCCGU
rnacentral:rRNA from 1 species